UACGUAGGGUGCGAGCGUUAAUCGGAAUUACUGGGCGUAAAGUGUGCGCAGGCGGCCAUGCAAGUCGAGUGUGAAAGCCCCGGGCUUAACUUGGGAAUUGCGCUCGAAACUACGUGGCUGGAGUGUGGCAGAGGAAGGUGGAAUUCCACGUGUAGCGGUGAAAUGCGUAGAGAUGUGGAGGGACACCAAUGGCGAAGGCAGCCUUCUGGGCCAACACUGACGCUCAUGCACGAAAGCGUGGGGAGCAAACAGG
rnacentral:rRNA from 1 species